rnacentral:tRNA from 3 species
GCGGCUGUAGCUCAGUUGGUAGAGCACCACCUUGCCAAGGUGGAUGUCACGAGUUCGAGCCUCGUCAGCCGCUCCA